GCCUACGGGAGGCAGCAGUGGGGAAUCUUAGACAAUGGGGGCAACCCUGAUCUAGCCAUGCCGCGUGAGUGAUGAAGGCCUUAGGGUUGUAAAGCUCUUUUGUCCGGGACGAUAAUGACGGUACCGGAAGAAUAAGCACCGGCUAACUCCGUGCCAGCAGCCGCGGUC
rnacentral:rRNA from 1 species